rnacentral:rRNA from 1 species
GAGCUCUCAAUCUGUCAAUCCUUCCAGUGUCCGGGCCUGGUGAGAUUUCCCGUGUUGAGUCAAAUUGAGCCGCAGGCUCCACUCCUGGUGGUGCCCUUCCGUCAAUUCCUUUAAGUUUCAGCUUUGCAACCAUACUUCCCCUGAAACCCAAGAGCUUUGGUUUCCCGGAAGCUUCCCGCGGGGCCUACAUUAACAAACGCCCGCGGAUCGCUAGCUGGCAUCGUUUAUGGUUAGAACUAGGGCGGUAUCUGAUCGCCUUCGAACCUCUAACUUUCGUUCUUGAUUAAUGAAAACAUUCUUGGCAAAUGCUUUCGCAGUGGUUGGUCUUGAGGAGGUCCAAGAAUUUCACCUCUAGCUCCUCAAUACCAAUGCCCCCGACUGUCCCUGUUAAUCAUUACGUCGAUCUCCGAAAACCAACAAAAUAGUGACGACGUCCUAUUCCAUUAUUCCAUGCACGAGUAUUCGGGCGUUUGAAGCCUGCUUGAAGCACUCUAAUUUUUUCAAAGUAAACCUGGCGGCGCCGAUGUCUAGCACUCGGUUAAGAGCACCAGCCGGUUGCCGCCCAAUGUCAGACGGGCCAGUGGGGCAGUGGGGCUAUUCACCUCACCGCCCCCGACCGUCCAAGAUCCAACUACGAGCUUUUUAACCACAACAACUUUAAUAUACGCUAUUGGAGCUGGAAU